rnacentral:tRNA from 1 species
ACCGCCGUCGCGAGGCUGACGUAGGUGGCGUUGAGGUCGUCGUGGCGCCAGACGCCGCCGCGGGCGGUCCAGUCCUGGGCCUGGAUGGUCGCGCC